rnacentral:rRNA from 1 species
CCUACGGGUGGCAGCAGUGAGGAAUAUUGGUCAAUGGGCGAGAGCCUGAACCAGCCAAGUCGCGUGAGGGAGUACUGCCCUAUGGGUUGUAAACCUCUUUUGUCGGGGAGCAAAAGCCGGACGUGUCCGGCUGUGAGAGUACCCGAAGAAAAAGCAUCGGCUAACUCCGUGCCAGCAGCCGCGGUAAUACGGAGGAUGCGAGCGUUAUCCGGAUUUAUUGGGUUUAAAGGGUGCGUAGGCGGACAGUCAAGUCAGCGGUAAAAAUGCGGUGCUCAACGCCGUACAGCCGUUGAAACUGGCAGUCUUGAGUGGGCGAGAAGUAUGCGGAAUGCGUGGUGUAGCGGUGAAAUGCAUAGAUAUCACGCAGAACUCCGAUUGCGAAGGCAGCAUACCGGCGCCCGACUGACGCUGAGGCACGAAAGCGUGGGUAUCGAACAGGAUUAGAUACCCUGGUAGUC